UAAAAUCCUAUCCUCUUAAAUUUCCCUCUUUUCCAACCAUAAAAAUGGCUUUGGCUUUCGCCCCUCUAUUUCCACGGUGGUUCAUUUGUGGGGAAUUUUUUAAGGUACACAAGAACGAAUGCCUGAAACCUGCUCAGUGAGUGACUCUGACUAAGCACGACAUAUAUAGUUUCAAAGGCCACCUUCAUGUCGACAUAAAUCAUGUCAGGGUCGAAACCCCUA
rnacentral:lncRNA from 1 species